GUUGGAAUACUGGUUCCCAUACGAUCACCAAAGUUAAGCAACAUUGAACUUAGUCAGUACAUGGAUGGGUGACUGCUUGGGAAUACCAAGUGCUGCAAG